UGGGAAAAGAAAAAAAAAAAGGAGGCGGCGACUACGACGAACUGCCGCCGGGCGUGCGUCACGCGCGUGCGCCCCAGUGACCCGGAUGUACCGGGAGGCGCAGCCUGAGCCGCUCCUGCUUCGGCUGCCUCCUGAGUUGUGCGGCAGGCGAGGGCGGUUGCGGCGGCGCCCAUCAAAGCUCUGCACAUGCGUACUCGCUUCCUUCCCCCCCCAACCAGCCAGCCUCUUUUGACUGAAAGGGGAAGAAAACCACGUGUUUCGCGGUGCCUCGUCUAGGUGGAAAAAAGGACACGGGCGGGCGAGUGUAGAAAGGAAGUUUAAUGGCAUUUGCUUUUUCUCUCUGCGGUUUAAUGUUUAUUUUUUAAAAAAGGCGUACGUUUAUUUGCACCCUCGCCGGGGAAACGGAGGCGAGAAGGAAAUCCUGCCUGCCUGCCUGCCUCCCCGCGAAGGCAAGCGAAGCUUCCGGGUUGGCCCGUCCCGACGUCACUUGCUACAGGUUUGCAACGCGGAGGAGGCGGCGGCGGCGGCGAGCAUCAGCCGGAGAGAGAUAGCUAUAAAAGGAAGAGACUCGUAAAAGGAGGAGGAGAAAGACGAGUCGCGCACCUCCGAGUGCCUCGCUCUUCAAGCGCUUUCUGGCACAGGAAGGAUCGUUGCACACGUUCAACCGAUCUCCCGGGUCAGGGGCUGCGACUCCGAGUUGGCGUUGCCCCCCAAGGGGCACAAACGGAGAAGAUGCCCUAAGCGGGAGGAGGAUCUAUUGCUGAUUUUUUUUUUUUAAGGAAAAUGAAGGCUAAUGCCUCUCGAGGCUCUGAUCAUCCUCCCUUACUGUGUGGCUUCUUCUUUUAGGAAAAUGUAGCUUUCACAGGAAUUUUUUCCCCUUUUUUUCUUGCUGUGGGUUUGGGCUCACGCCUUGGCACGGUGGCCCUCCUGCCCGGUGCCCAGGUUUGUACACAAGGCUUCCCCAAUCCGGGGGGAAAAGAGGUUUUUAAAAGGGUAUUUUUAGAUUAGGAAGCUGAAGCCUUGCCCGCAUGAGUACCCUCCAGAGGUAAACAUCCUUGCACUAUAGUUCUAAGAGGAUGAUGAUGAGUGAUAGAAUGUUAAGACAGGGUGAGAUGACUUUUUCAAACUGAUGCAUGCGGGGGGCUUCUGCAAGGAUCCGAAUUCAUUAAUAACUCACUUUAUUGUGUGUUUUACCGAUAGGGAAGGCUGCUGGGGGAGUUUUCCAUCUGCAGGUGCCAAGAGGACUUGGCCAGCAGACAGGUAGUCCUCCUUUAAAAGUGAAGAGGAGCAAGGCAUCCGGAGCAUCUCUGCCUCAGGAGGCAAAAUGUUUUGAUCUGAUCUUAACUUCCCCUAACAGUGAAUGAGCUGGAAACAUUUCUUUUUAGUUUUCCCUUCCGUUUUCUAUCUUCAUUCUAUUUUAUGUAAUUAGGUAAGACAGUGACAUGGUAUUUCCUCACCUGUAAAUUGGAAGUGCUCCCUGGAAGGACAGAUCCUGAAGCUGAGGCUCCAAUACUUUGGCCAUCUCGUGAGAAGAGAAGACUCCCUGGAAAAGACCCUGAUGUUGGGAAAGUGUGAAGGCAAGAGGAGAAGGGGACGACAGAGGAUGAGAUAAUUGGACAGUGUCAUCAAAGUGACCAACAUGAAUUUGACCAGACUCCAGGAGGCAGUGGAAGACAGGAGGGCCUGGCGUGCUCUGGUCCAUGGGGGUCACGAAGAGUCGGACGACUAAACAACAAGUUGGAAGUGAUGCAGUGCCUUAUUAUUAACACCAGCCAGGUCCAUCAGCUAAUUCUGUUUCAUAUGUAGAUUUGUGAUUGACUGUUUGGGGUAGUGGAUGGAGUGAUGGACUAGGGCAGUGGUUCUUAACCUUUGUUACUCGGAUGUUUUUCGACUGCAACUAUUAUUAACACCAGCCAGGUCCAUCAGCUAAUUCUGUUUCAUAUGUAGAUUUGUGAUUGACUGUGUUUGGGACAGUGGAUAGAGUGAUGGACUAGGGCACUCGAGAAGAGGGUUUGAAUCCCCACUUAGCCAUGGAAGCUCACUGGGGGAGUGGAAGAGAUCUAGUAAAAGCGUAAAUAUCUCACUUACGUUGAAAACACUGCUAUAUAAUUUGGUUUUGACUUGACAGCAUGUAACCCACACACACUUCUCUGAAAUUGUCUUUUUCUACAUGAGGUUUAUUUUUUUGUUUGUUUAACCGACCAGAUAGGUGGGAUAUAAAUUAAAUAAAUAAAAUAAAUAAAUAGAAACCCA
rnacentral:lncRNA from 1 species